rnacentral:lncRNA from 1 species
CUGUUUUAGUUAGUAACUUACAUUAACUGAUCCACUUAGUCUCUUACAGUGACUGUAUUCCUACAGAACAGCCGUUAUGAAGGCAUUAUCAAGCAAAACAAUACAAACAAAGUAAAAGCUCUUUGAGGAUAAGUUCAUUUUGCUGAACAGAGGGUACGGGUGAGGUUAAAGAAGAGAGCCUCUGAGUUCUCAACCAACAGGAUCAAAUCAAACCACACCCAGUUAGUCUGGAACAAUGAGACCUCGCAGUGUUCUACACUGUCUAACCUCUCAGGACUCAUGCUGUGUGAGUGUGUGUGUGUGGACAUGGGUUAGUCUGUACGCGUGUGCGAGGCUGAAAGUGUUCCCCAGGGGGUAAGGGGAAAGGUCCCGUCUGUUAAUGUAGUAGCUUAUUAACAAAUGGUAGGGGUAAGAGUUAACACUAGUUACAGACCCUGUAUGGUAGGGGUUAGGGUUAGAGUUAACACUAGGUACACACCCUGUAUGGUAGGGGUUAGGGUUAACACUAGGUACACAUCCUGUAUGGUAGGGGUUAGGGUUAGAGUUAACACUAGGUACACACCCUGUAUGGUAGGGGUUAUAGUUAACACUAGGUACACACCCUGUAUGGUAGGGGUUAGGGUUAACACUAGGUACACACCCUGUAUGGUAGGGGUUAGAGUUAACACUAGGUACACACCCUGUAUGGUAGGGGUUAGAGUUAACACUAGGUACACACCCUGUAUGGUAGGGGUUAGAGUUAACACUAGGUACACACCCUGUAUGGUAGGGGUUAGAGUUAACACUAGGUACACACCCUGUAUGGUAGGGGUUAGGGUUAACACUAGGUACACACCCUGUAUGGUAGGGGUUAGAGUUAACACUAGGUACACAUCCUGUAUGGUAGGGGUUAGAGUUAACACUAGGUACACACCCUGUAUGGUAGGGGUUAGAGUUAACACUAGGUACACAUCCUGUAUGGUAGGGGUUAUAGUUAACACUAGGUACACAUCCUGUAUGGUAGGGUUAUAGUUAACACUAGGUACACAUCCUGUAUGGUAGGGGUUAGAGUUA